UCUUGUAGUAUUUCUAUUUUAUGUAUUUAUUUUUCAGAAAAUGUCAACAUUAUUUCUCAAAAUGUUCCUCUCACAAUGACAGCUUUUUUUUUUUCGAGUAUUUUGCAUUGUCAAACAAACAACAACCCCCCCCCCCCCCCAAAAAAAUAAAACAACAACGCAUAAAUAGCUCCUGCCACAUUUGACACAAUGCAUCAAUGUUAUCCAAGCGCCGCUGGACCUUUCAGGACCUUUUGAAAAAAGCGCCUGCCUCAGCAGUUUUUGCGGCCGGCGGGCCGUGAGCAAGGGGUCUGGGUUCCCCUUUAGGUUCUGUUUACGCCCCGAGGCCAGGCCUCCAUCCUGACAACAUCAACAUUUCACCAAGGAGGAGCUAUUGCUAAGGAGGAAUCGCUUGUGCUCCAGGCUAAAGAUGCCUCUGAAGAGCCCCCUACUGGCCGUGCUGGUGUACUGCGUUCAGCGUGCGGCCAAGCUCUUCUGCCGCCAGCGCAAACGCAGCGGCGGACCGUCGGCCGGACCUCGGUGAGCCUUUGUCACUUUAUUAGCAACGGGAUGUCGCUGUUCCAGCAACUUUCCAAGAGGUUCACUCAGCUGCUGCACAACGUUCUGUGAACGACAGCAUGAAAUAUGGAAGGUUCAUCAUAAUAAUAAUAAUCGUCCGCUAUAGGAAAAGUGCUAUUUCUUGCUGCUGUGGUAUCCUUUUGCCAUGUUUUUUAUGACUUCAUAACCUCCAACUCCUCCCCUAACCAUUUUUCUUUUUGCUGUAACUUUUGUGAUUUAUUGACAUUGUUGAAAUGAAAUUAAACUAAGUCAUAUA